UCCUUGACGGUACCUAACCAGAAAGCCACGGCUAACUACGUGCCAGCAGCCGCGGUAAUACGUAGGUGGCAAGCGUUAUCCGGAAUUAUUGGGCGUAAAGCGCGCGCAGGUGGUUUCUUAAGUCUGAUGUGAAAGCCCACGGCUCAACCGUGGAGGGUCAUUGGAAACUGGGAGACUUGAGUGCAGAAGAGGAAAGUGGAAUUCCAUGUGUAGCGGUGAAAUGCGUAGAGAUAUGGAGGAACACCAGUGGCGAAGGCGACUUUCUGGUCUGUAACUGACACUGAGGCGCGAAAGCGUGGGGAGCAAACAGGAUUAGAUACCCUGGUAGUCCACGCCGUAAACGAUGUCUACUUGGAGGUUGUGGCCUUGAGCCGUGGCUUUCGGAGCUAACGCGUUAAGUAGACCGCCUGGGGAGUACGGUCGCAAGAUUAAAACUCAAAUGAAUUGACGGA
rnacentral:rRNA from 1 species